GGGAUUGGAGAGCUUGCUUUCCAUGAGAGUGGCGUACGGGUGCGUAACGCGUAUGCAACCUACCUUCAUCAGGGGGAUAGCCCGAAGAAAUUCGGAUUAACACCGCAUAAAAACACAGACUGGCAUCAGUUAAUGUUCAAAUAUUUAUAGGAUGAAGAUGGGCAUGCGUGUCAUUAGCUAGUUGGUAAGGUAACGGCUUACCAAGGCGACGAUGACUAGGGGAUCUGAGAGGAUGACCCCCCACACUGGUACUGAGACACGGACCAGACUCCUACGGGAGGCAGCAGUAAGGAAUAUUGGUCAAUGGAGGCAACUCUGAACCAGCCAUGCCGCGUGCAGGAAGACAGCCCUAUGGGUCGUAAACUGCUUUUAUACGGGAAUAAACCUUGAUUCGUGAAUCGAGCUGAAUGUACCGUAAGAAUAAGGAUCGGCUAACUCCGUGCCAGCAGCCGCGGUAAUAC
rnacentral:rRNA from 1 species